AUGGAUUACGCGAAAACGAGAGAGAGAUAAUAUACAAAUAUAAUCUCACUAUAAACGCCGAUAUCUCAAUCCUCCCUCUGUGUAUGUUUUGAAUUGAGACUUUAGGAAACUUUACUCUUCUCCUGGCUACUGUUUAUCGUACCUGCGUUCAAAAAUUGAUAUUGAUUGUGGUAGAAGAAUACAAAUUUUGAUAUAAUAUUUGCCCCUUGAAUUUUAAUGGAAUUACGAAAUAGUCGCUGCUAUAUUUUGAUGUAUGAUGAGUAUGUGGACCAAUAUGAUAUCAUAAAGUUGUUAUAAGAGUAAACACUCGCGGAAAGUGUGCGUGAACAUCAAGACCAAUGAGAUUUUAAAUUGAUUGGCGGAGGGUGCGAUUUUACAGAUGAUUAUUGGACAAUGCAUGAUCCGUGAACC
rnacentral:lncRNA from 1 species